rnacentral:rRNA from 1 species
GAUGAACGCUGGCGGCGUGCCUAAUACAUGCAAGUCGAGCGAACGGACGAGAAGCUUGCUUUUCUGAUGUUAGCGGCGGACGGGUGAGUAACACGUGGAUAACCUACCUAUAAGACUGGGAUAACUUCGGGAAACCGGAGCUAAUACCGGAUAAUAUUUUGAACCGCAUGGUUCAAGAGUGAAAGACGGUCUUGCUGUCACUUAUAGAUGGAUCCGCGCUGCAUUAGCUAGUUGGUAAGGUAACGGCUUACCAAGGCAACGAUGCAUAGCCGACCUGAGAGGGUGAUCGGCCACACUGGAACUGAGACACGGUCCAGACUCCUACGGGAGGCAGCAGUAGGGAAUCUUGCGCAAUGGGCGAAAGCCUGACGGAGCAACGCCGCGUGAGGGAUGAAGGUCUUCGGAUCGUAAAACUCUGUUAUUAGGGAAGAACAGAUGUGUAAGUAACUGUGCACAUCUUGACGGUACCUAAUCAGAAAGCCACGGCUAACUACGUG